GGCCAGUUGGCUCAGUAGUAGAGCGCAUGCUUAGCAUGUGCGAGGUCCUGGGUUCAAUUCCCAGAACCUCCA
rnacentral:tRNA from 1 species